rfam:Capsicum annuum cultivar Zunla-1 chromosome 2, whole genome shotgun sequence
UUGCACUUGGCUUUGCUAAAUUUUCAAAGUAGUGCAAUCUAUUAACGAUUAGUGCAAUACAGGAAAAGCUGAAUUAAUCAGCGACGACUAGACAACCGUUGAGAUGAAUCCACAGAUAGGUUUUUAUUUGCUCCCGUCUACUAAAUUCAUCUUACAUUA